rnacentral:lncRNA from 1 species
AUUCAAUUCUACGAGAUCAAGAAGUUUUUUUUUAAUUUUUCAAUCUGAAGCUGGUACACACGCUAUUGUUGAUACGGUGUAGUUGAUUAUUAAAAGUCAAACUUCGCCAGGAACCCACACAGACAAGCCUUAAAAUGCCAAAGUAUAAACUUCAAUUCUAAAAGCGUAAAUUUAUGACUUGGAUGAAAGGUUUUCAAAUUGUCACUCAUACCACAUCUUUUAUCUAUGUGUAGGGUACUAUUGAUAAGGGCUUUCAAGCACCAAUUCAAACUACCGGUUAACCGGUUAAUCGGU